rnacentral:lncRNA from 1 species
UUUGAAUUGAAUUGCUGGGAGGGCAUUGGUGGGCUCCCUCCAAGAAUCAUGGAAUGACAGAAGCAUGUUUAGGAAUUUUUUUCCUCUGAUCCUUAUCUCGACACAGAAUGGAUAGAUAUUUAUUGUCUUAGAUCAUGGAUUUCUGAUACCUCCCAUUCAAGGGGAUCAAAAGGAACCCCACUGUAAAUCCUUCAUGAGGUGAGUUCAGUGUAUGUCGUCUCUUUCCAUUCAUCGGACACCUGUCACUGAGCCCACUGGCAGAUGGGGUGCCUGGUGCCGCACCCUGGUCCUCCUGCCUCUGCCGGUCACUUCCUGCAGGGCUGCUGGGGGUGAGGGCAGGGGUCAGGGCUGGGGCGGGAGAGGCACUGCUUGAGGCCAGUAGGCCACUCUCUGUUUUUGGUGUUGAGCCCAUUCAGUUCUCACUUCCCCGGGUCUUGGUUUUGAGAAACAGGGCAGGCCUUUUGUUCCCGGCUUUUUUGUGUGUUUGUUUGGGACAUGUUAAAAUAUUUUUUAAAAUUUUUUUUUUUUUUUUUUUUUUUUAGUUGUAUCCACCGUAUUUCAGAUUCUUUUUGUUGAUGUCAAAAAUGUGUAUAUGACAUGCCUAUGGUUCUUUUUAACCCUUUCUGGUUUUGUUUUUUAGAGGAAACUGAAGA